rnacentral:rRNA from 1 species
AUUGAACGCUGGCGGCAUGCUUUACACAUGCAAGUCGAACGGUAACAGGCCGCAAGGUGCUGACGAGUGGCGAACGGGUGAGUAAUGCAUCGGAACGUGCCCAGUCGUGGGGGAUAACUGCUCGAAAGAGCAGCUAAUACCGCAUACGAUCUAUGGAUGAAAGCGGGGGACCGUAAGGCCUCGCGCGAUUGGAGCGGCCGAUGUCAGAUUAGGGAGUUGGUGGGGUAAAGGCUCACCAAGCCAACGAUCUGUAGCUGGUCUGAGAGGACGACCAGCCACACGGGGACUGAGACACGGCCCAGACUCCUACGGGAGGCAGCAGUGGGGAAUUUUGGACAAUGGGGGCAACCCUGAUCCAGCAAUGCCGCGUGCAGGAAGAAGGCCUUCGGGUUGUAAACUGCUUUUGUACGGAACGAAACGGUCUGGGUUAAUACCCUGGGCUAAUGACGGUACCGUAAGAAUAAGCACCGGCUAACUACGUGCCAGCCGCCGCAGUAACAC